rnacentral:rRNA from 1 species
CUGCCUGAAGAAGAGCUUGCGUCUGAUUAGCUAGUUGGUAGUGUAAGAGACUACCAAGGCGACGAUCAGUAGCUGGUCUGAGAGGAUGAUCAGCCACACUGGGACUGAGACACGGCCCAGACUCCUACGGGAGGCAGCAGUGGGGAAUUUUCCGCAAUGGGCGAAAGCCUGACGGAGCAAUACCGCGUGAGGGAGGAAGGCUCUUGGGUUGUAAACCUCUUUUCUCAGGGAAGAACAGAAUGACGGUACCUGAGGAAUAAGCAUCGGCUAACUCCGUGCCAGCAGCCGCGGUAAUACGGGGGAUGCAAGCGUUAUCCGGAAUGAUUGGGCGUAAAGGGUCCGCAGGUGGCAUUGUAAGUCUGCUGUUAAAGAGUUUGGCUCAACCAAAUAAGAGCAGUGGAAACUACAAAGCUAGAGUGUGGUCGGGGCAGAGGGAAUUCCUGGUGUAGCGGUGAAAUGCGUAGAUAUCAGGAAGAACACCAGUGGCGAAGGCGCUCUGCUAGGCCGAGACUGACACUGAGGGACGAAAGCUAGGGGAGCGAAUGGGAUUAGAUACCCCAGUAGUCCUAGCCGUAAACG